rnacentral:lncRNA from 1 species
GAAUCCGACCGAAGGAGUUAAUUGUUCCACUGUAAAAGAUACUCUCGGCCCCUCUAUACAAUAACAGAUUCAAAUUGAAUAGACGAGGGAUUGGAGGGAUGGGUGGACCUAUUUAUGAAUCCUAAUAGUCAUAGUUUGCAAAGAAAACCUCAUAAAUAAGCUUGUUUCUAAGAACCGAGAAGAGUGAGAGAAGAAACUAAAUAGGAUAAAUAAUAUUCUCCUGAGCUUUCUAGUUGAAAUUAUCAGUGACUAGAGAGUUGUAGUAUGUGACAUCUGAGAGUGAAUACAAGUUUUUCGUGCCUUCAUUAUUUGAGAAAUGGAGGAAUACCUUUGGUGUUUCAGUGCAAUUCAUGUCAUUUUUUUAGGAUCUGUGAUCCUUAGGUUAGAUUGGAGUGAUUCCAUUAUUAAAAUUAUUUGAAUAGGAUAUAGAAUACAAAUUACUAGACUAAAAUACAAUUUUGAUCUUCCUUUUUUUAAUCCAUGAUUUUUUUAACAUAGAGUUAUUUCGACCAACCCUACAAAUUAAGUUAAUACCUUAAUAAUUAAGAUAUUAAUAUUUACUUACAUGUCAUAUACUUUUAUCUAACCAAAAAAAUAAACAAUGACAUAUAAUAUAUAUAUAUAGGGAAAAAAAGAAAAAAAAAAUACCAUGGCGUGUGGUCGUCGUGUUGGAAAACUCUGAAUCCGCGAUUGCUUCUAGAAUCUUCUAUUUGAAUUCACUGUGUUAUAUUGAAUAUUCUUCAAAUUAUUCAUCAGUUUUUCGAUCUUUCACAAAACUCAGAACCCUAUUGGUAUAU